UACAAAAUGAAAAUACGUGGAACAGUGCCUAUCAAGAAAAAGAGUUCAGGAGAUUCUGCUGUUGUUAUUAUUAGCUUCAGGCAAUGUGGCUUUAUAAAUGGAUAAGCAUUGGAAGAGUGGCAAACAUCUUUUAAUAGUUCAGAUUAACCUGUGUGAUUAUAGGGUGAUCCAGGGCUCGAUUAGUACUUAACACCAGAAACUGAAGGGAAUGGAGAACAGGGGAACAUUUGUCUGGGCAUGCCUUUAGCGUCAAGCAUGUCAAGAAUGUUGUUGGAAUGGCUCUGCCAUAAUGGGAAUGGCUGUAGGGCCACAUAUCAGUCCUUCAUUUGGAUCUGACAGAUGCAAGUAAGUAGCAGAGAGGUAGCUCCAGAAAGAUCAUCAGCCAGCACAUUUCUGGCAGCUGGGUUGUCUGACUGAAGCCUGGAGAAACUGAACCUACAUUUGUCUCCAAGAAAAGAUGAGUAGGGCCAUGGGGGAAGGAAUUGUGUAUGAGGAAAUUCAAGCAAGCGCUAGCAUGAAUCUGGGCAAGUGUAGUUUGGUCUCUCACUGUGGAGUCCUUUUGUUGUUCUCCUUAAAUCAUAACAACAAUCCCGGCAGUCAGGGAGAACUUCUCUGAUUAUUGGUAGUGUGCUUCCUGGUCUCCUGUGCCUCUGAGCACCUCUACCCAUAAUUAGGUCUUUCUUCCAGCCUCCGCCUUAUAGUUUUUGCUUCCAAGAAAUCACUUACCUUCCCAGUUUUUGGAAUCACUGUUUUAUGACACCAUAGAUGGAAAAUAAUGAAUCUGCUUUAUGAAACUUGGGGGGGGGGAAAAAAAGAAGAAGAAGAACCAUGGAGGUGGAUUGUCUGGCUUUGGGAAGUCAUCACCAGUUGGCAAUUGUUAGAGAAUGACUCAGCUGUCUGGAUCUACCUUUCAGACAGGUUUAGGUAAACUGGAAGCAGAUCAACACUAGGCUUACUCACAUAUAGGCAUGCCUGGAUAAGCCAUCUAACAUCAGUACACAGGAAGGGCCGGUAUCUACGGUCGAGUCAGGCAAAUCCUCCUUUUUCCCAUUUGAAAUGCCAUGAAUUUAAACGUCGCAUGGAAACCAAAGACUGUCUCAUUAUAUGCAAGAUUAUAAGAUUAA